rnacentral:tRNA from 1 species
GCCAGAGUGGCUGAUUGGGCCCGCCUGCUAAGUGGGUGUCGGGGUUCCCUCGACCGCGGGUUCGAAUCCCGCC